GCCAAAGGAAGAACAAAGCAAGAAAAAAGGAAGAAAAAGAAAGAAAAAAACCCUAGGUGGAAAAAUUCAAGGGAAAAGUGUGAAAAAUUCAAGGAAACAAGUGACAAAAGGUAAGAUUUUUUAAUUCUAGCUUGUGAUCUACCUUUUCUAUGCAUUAUUUUGCAUUUUCCAUGGUUGAAUCACAAGAUAUCAUGAAGGAUUCAUGGCUGACCGAAUUUAGAGAGAGAAGAUUUGAUGAUUUAUUUAGUUAGAUUUUGAGAUAUUUUAGUGUUUUUAGUUGUUUAGUGUCGUGUAGCAUGAAAAGCCAACAAGAAAAAAAUUCAUUUUCUCCCAUCACCCAUCAUUGGCCGAAUUCUCCAUGUAGAAUAUUGAUGAUGAUUUUGAUUUUAUUUCAAGUGAUUUGGUUAGGAAUUAGUGAUUUAUGGUGUGAGAAUCAAGCUUGAAAAAUUAUAAUGUUGAUGCACCCACCAUGGCCGAAUUUUCCAAGAGAAAAUGUGAGGAUGUUUUUGCCAUAUUUCAAGUUAUUUAAUUUGUGUUUGAUGAUUUGGAGUAAUGAGAGAAAAAUGAAAUUGUUUGGAGUUGAAUUGGACAUAUUGGCCAAUUAAUCGAGUGAUAGAUCGAAUUAGGCCAAUACCGUUUAAUUUAGGUACACAAUUGAAUUUGUGUAGAACAUCGUGUUUAGACAAUAAUCCGAACAAUUUGUAUCCCAUUUCAUACAUUAGUAUAAAGCCUGAAUUGGUUUUAUAACAAUUUAGCACAAUGUAGUAAAUGAUUUAUUGUGCAUUAUGUCUAGGUGGUGAGCAUUCUGGCAAAAGUAAAGAGAUAGUACCCGAGGAUCAAGAAUCGGAGUACUUAGAAUUCGACUCCCGAAAUAGUGAGUAACCUUAUUAUCGUCUUAAUUAUCUAAAGUAGUUUUUAUCUAAUUUUGUAUUUUAUGGAAAAUGAGUUUAAAUGGUAAAUCUUUAUGUUUUAUAAGCCAAAUGUGAUUAAAUGAAAAUGAUUUUAUAAAAUUAUCUUGAAAUUGAAUGAUGGUUUUGAAAAUAGAGUAAUUGGAGACUAAUUGUUGUGUUAUAAAUUAUGGUUUGAAUUGAAUGGCUCAUGAUAAUAUUUGCAUGAAUAGCUGAAUUGGUAUUUGUGUUGAAAAUGUAUGAACUAUUAAUUUGCCUUGAGAGGCUGUAAAAUAAAAUAAUUACCAUGUCAUGCUAUUGCAAAUUUUAUUAUAUGGUGGGUUAUAAAUUAGUUGCUACAGUGGACGGGUUCCGUGAACUAGCCUAUUAGAGGGGCACGGUAACCCUAUUAUAUUCUUACCUAAAUAUGAGAGGCGCGGAUGGAUAACUCCUAAGGUUAACACUUUAGAGUUCACUUCACGUCAAACCACCACGUGAGGGUGAACUUAGCCAACGUCAAGGAACGAUUAUGUUUUUAAAAUAAAAACCUGAUUUAUGCAUACAUAACUUUUUAACAGUCUUGGCGAACUCGGUUGGGAUAGCCCUCGAUCAAGGUAUCCCUAAUAACUGGGUAUGAGAAUGAUUUUGGCACGAGCCAAAGUUUUAAGAAAUUCAUAAGCCAUGUUGAUUUCUCGGAUUAUAUGAAUUUAUUUUAUUUGGUUGAAACAAGUUGAAAGGUGAUGAAUUACAAUAUGUUAAACCAUUUUAUUUUUCUCCAUUUACUUGGCUUUAGAUAUUUUAGAUGGUAUUUGUUUACUCAUCGGGAUUAUAUAAUCUCACCACCCUCUUUUUCACCCAUUUCAGGCUCAGAAUAGGCUGUAGAUAGCUGAUUUUAUCGAAGCUACCAUUGGAUUUGCAUCCUCCAAACUGUAGGUACACAAUCUUCCUUACUUUUAGUUAUUCGAGGGCCCACUGGUUAUUGUAAAUUAAGUUAAAUACUUUGGCUUACUGUAUUACAAUAUGUAUGAAUUUAUUUUGCUUUUACGUUGCUACAAAAAAAUUAUUUACGUAUAACUCUAAUGAUAUUGUUUUAUAAGAAAAUAAAAUAUUUUAUUAAAUAUUUUUU
rnacentral:lncRNA from 1 species